AUUGGCCCCCACUCAAGACCUCACUCCUCCAGGGAGGGCUGCGUACUUUAGGGUGGCUCCCGCCUGGCUGGCUGAGAAACUCCGCUGCUCCUGAAGGAAAAUUAGACCUGAGCUAACAUCCACUGCCAAUCCUCCUCUUUUUGCCAAGGAAGACUGGCCCUGAGCUACUCAUGCCCAUCUUCCUCUACUUUAUAUGUGGGACGCCUGCCACAGCAUGGCUUGCCAAGCAGUGCCAUGUCCACACCCAGAAUCUGAACCCUUGAACCCGGGCUGCUGAAGCAGAACGUGAGAACUUAACUGCUGCGCCACCAGGCUGGCCUCCAGAAAUCUAGCUUUUAAAGCAAUAAUCAAAGGCAGGUGAGGCUUCCGAUCUGAUUAAACUUCAAGAGGUGAUAUCGUGUUUUUCGUUUUGACUCGUUUUGUUUCCAUCUCUCACUCUGGACUGACCACUGUUAAAGGAUGGAGGAAACAGUCUCAACAGUGGCCGAAUCUAAUGUGCCUUCUCCAAAGCCUCUUCCACCGACCACGAGGUUCUUUUGAUCAAGCAGAAGUCUCUACACAGUUGAUGAUGUCAACAAGAUGAAGCAACAUAGAUGUUAACUGUUCAUAUUUUGGACAAAAUAAGUGAGAAGAAUAACAAAUGUGCAUUUCUAUGUCUUCAGGCUCAGUUUUUCACUUGAGCAUAUAAUUCAGCUUCUGAGACAAUGAGACACCACCAAGCUUCUCCUGGGCCAUGUUCACAGAGUGGCUUUUAUCGAGACCUUGAAUUUUUGUAGUCAGUCUACAUUGCAUUCUUGGCUCACUUCACAACUGUAGCUCCAAAAAUGGAAAGUAUUCCACAAGCUUAUUGAAUUCCUUCUCUGUUCCCUUUCUUUCUCCACGUGAUCUGUGCAUUCUUUGCAAACUUAUCUUUUAAUGAAUUUCUAAUUUUGAAAUUUUUGUGCAUUGUAUAGCAAUUCAGUUUUCCUCUCUGAAUCUCUGCCCACCUCUUUUAUACCACACAAGGAGCAGGGUAUUGUUAAACUAUAUUUUAAGCUAACCGUGGAGUUUUUUAAUAUAUAAAUAUAGAUAUAUGCUUAAUAACUUAAUAAUCACUUUAAAUCAAUGGUAAUAAUGUUAAUAAAGAAAAAUAAACUGAGGACUAAUAUAUUUUGUAAACACUGCUAAUAAUAUGGUAGUAUUUACUUCUUAUAUGACUAAAUCAUUUUAGUAAUUAAUUUAGAAAUAAAUGCCAUCUGAAUCGAGAAUUUAAGCACAUUUCUCCUAAGAUUCCAGAACUGAAUUGAUUAGCUUACAGACCUCUUACGAUAAUUUUUAUAUUUUACUUCCAUAAUUUUUACCGCAUAUUAUAUAUGUUGGCAAAUGAAGGUGUUUCCUAUCACUGCCACUUGAUAAUAAUAAUAAUAAUAAUAAUAAUAAAAUAUAAUACAAAAUUGCCAUCAAAAUUUUUACUGUAAAAUCUUAUGGAGGAUUUAUAAUAGUUUGACUAUUAAAAUUGGCUUUAAGAUGGCUCUUGUCAUGAGCAAGGAUCUACUCUGUUUAUU
ensembl:lncRNA